UAAGGUUCGAAAAGUCAAUUAAGUCACCUAGCAACCAUCAACAACUCAUCGCGAAGGUGAUCUAUCUCAUGGUAUUCUGCUAAAAACUUCACUUCUCUUGAACCUGAUUUUUAAUUCGGUUUUCCACAUCGCAGAUUUCAUCAAGUAAUAAAGACGAUGGAUCAUCCACUACCAAGCUUUUGACCGGUACUAUAUAUCAUAAACUAAGAAGAUAUAUGAUAUUCAUGGCCCUAGAUAUCACAUCCCUAGACAACAUUGAAAAGCUUAGAUAUUACCUGGCUUCUGAUUUGAAUCUUAGUUAGAUGACUCACUGUUGAUUUUUACUUAAUUGGUUCUCCUUGUUUAUUUUGUUUGCAGGAUUUGAUAGAAAACUAAUGACAGAAAUGAUAACUUCAAGACCCAUCAACAGCAAUACCAAGGUUUGUCUAAUUUCUAACAAAUAUUAACGGAAUAUAUGAAACAAAAUAUUUUUUUUAUUAAUGGGAUGAAAUAUUUAUCAUUUUACAGAAUUACAAGAAUAAUAAUCCGGACGAUAUGGAGUUUACACAUGGAGAAAUAGGAAAGGGAAAUAUUUUUCCGACGACACUUGUUCCAGCAAAUGACAUGCAUGAGAAACCUGAAGUCUUGUCACAUCACCACAAUUCAGACGUUAUAGACAUUAUAGAUAUAAUCCAAUCAGAUUAUACACCUCGUAGGUGCAGGGCACCGAUACACAAUUGUUA
rnacentral:lncRNA from 1 species